GGGCUCAUAGCUCAGCGGUAGAGUGCCUCCCUUGCAAGGAGGAUGCCCUGGGUUCGAAUCNACACACCAGACCUUCCC
rnacentral:tRNA from 1 species